rnacentral:ncRNA from 1 species
CCCCCACGUCAGGGGAGUCCCGCCUAGGGGACUGAGAGGCUGACAGGGGGCGGUAACGCCCUUGGUGACGCGACCCUUUGAACCUGACCCAGUUGAUGCUGGCGUAGGAAGACCGAAGGGUAUUUCC